CUGAGAUGGGUUUGAAAUUACUUUGGAGAGGAGCCAGCCGAGUGGUCCUGUGGGAAGAAGAGAUCAUUGAGAACAUUCUCAUACAACUCCAGACUUGUCUAACGAAGGAAGGUGCCAAGAGUGAAGACUGCAGUCGUACAAGAAAAAAAUCCCUGGGGGGGCCGCCGCGUUUCAGAGGUGGUGAAGAAGGGCGUGAAGAAGAACAAAAAGAAAUGUGAGUGACGCGGAAGGAAGUUCUUCCCAAGGAGGCCAGUUGUCGGUUGGCAUUGCUUGGUGUCAUAGAAGUGGGAUCCAGAAAAGACCUCAACAGCUCCAAGGCUGGUGAGCAGACCCUUGUCAAUACCCACUGAGGCCAUUGAGCUCACUCUUUUGUCACUGACCCUGGAGUUUGAGGACUCAACUGAAGGCACUGGCUAUAUUACCAAGACUUUGACUGAAAUCGUAUUUCAGAUAAAUCUGAAGGCCAGUCCUUGACUUGGCUUCCUGGCCUCAGAGGCAAUGACAGUUCAAUCUGAGAUGCCUUAUGAAAAGUUCCAGCAAAUCAGUCUUAAAAAGAACUUACAAGGUCAAUCAAUAUUUCUGCUACAUGUGUGUGAGUAACCAGGCCAAGUUUAAUGCAAACAAAUUAGUUUUAUCUUUAGUAAAAAAAAAAAAAAAAUGGGGAUACUUGUAGAGAGAUGGGGCAUGUAGAGAGAAAAAAUAUGUUUGCACCUUUGUCUACAUUAGAUUCUAGCCCUGUUAAUUGUCUUUGAGGUUUGGCUAUAUACCUGUAAACUAGGCUGGAUCCUGAAUUCACCUGGUUUCCUCAAAUAUCUGGCUACAACUCUUCAACCUAUCACUUCCAAUUUUGUCCCGCUCAUCUGAUUUGGAAUCACCAAAGAACGAAGACUGCUCCUAAAUCUCCUUGGAAGGGACUAUAAGAAGUCUUUCCCAUUACCGGGAUGGCAGCCAAACUUCAGGGACUUGAGCCUUGACUGCACAUCGGACAUCUGAAGGAGGUUUUUCCUGACAUCCAGUCCUGUGCAAGUCCUGGAGGCUUCCAAAUCAAAUUGACGAGGAGGACAGUGAUCUGACAUCAAGGAAAUGCAAAAGGACUAACUUCUCACUGCAAGGCUUUUCAGAAAGAUCCCUUUAGGAUGGGAUGGUACCUCACGGAAUAUCAUCCAAAUUCCUCUGAUCCCUGGCUUGAAAACGUCAAUUAGGAAACUCCAACUGAAGGGUCUAUCAAGAAACUAGGCCUUAGCUGGAGUUCUUUGCACUCCAACUGGCUUCAGUUUUUGUCUGUGCCAGACAGUAUUACCCAUGGGCAUGUGAAUGUUUAGAUAGCUGGUGAAUUGAAGGUCAAUACUUAUUGGGAUGUUUAACUGUCCCUGUCAACAUCCAUAAUAAAUAAGAAACCUCCAAUUGGUUUCCCUCAUUAAACCUUCAGAGCUGCUUUAUUUUUUUUUUUUUUUCAAUGUUUGUUUAUUUUUGGGACAGAGAGACAGAGCAUGAA